AUUCCUGAAGGAAUUUCUGAAGGAAUUCCUUAAGGAAUCUCUGAAGGAAUUUCCGAAGGAAUUCCUGGGGGAUUUCCCGAUGGAAUCCCUGGAAGAAUUCCCAAAGGACUCCCUGGAGGAAUUCCUGAAGGAAUCCCCAGAGGAAUUCCUGAAGGAA
rfam:Aedes albopictus isolate Foshan contig32639, whole genome shotgun sequence.